rnacentral:rRNA from 1 species
UACAGAGGUCCCAAGCGUUGUUCGGAUUCACUGGGCGUAAAGGGUGCGUAGGUGGUGAGGUAAGUCGGAUGUGAAAGCUCGGAGCUCAACUCCGAAAUGGCAUUGGAAACUACCUUGCUCGAGGGUUGGAGGGGGGACUGGAAUGCUUGGUGUAGCAGUGAAAUGCGUAGAUAUCAAGCGGAACACCAGUGGCGAAGGCGGCAUCCUGGACCGGUAUUGACACUGAAAAGCGAAAGCCAGGGGAGCAAACGGG